rnacentral:rRNA from 1 species
CUACGGAGGGCGCGAACGUUGCUCGGAAUCAUUGGGCGUAAGGCGCACGUAGGCGGCCUGAUAAGUCGGAUGUGAAAGCCCACGGCUCAACCGUGGAAGUGCAUUCGAAACUGUCAGGCUUGAGUAUGGGAGAGGGUUGCGGAAUUCCCGGUGUAGAGGUGAAAUUCGUAGAUAUCGGGAGGAACACCAGCGGCGAAGGCGGCAGCCUGGACCAAUACUGACGCUGCGGUGCGAAAGCGUGGGGAGCAAACAGGAUUAGAUACCCUAGUAGUCC